rnacentral:tRNA from 1 species
CGGGGCAUAGCUUAGUCCGGUUAAAGUGCGCGUCUGGGGGGCGCGAGAUCGGUGGUUCGAAUCCACUUGCCCCGACCA